AAAUAAUGUGAUGGAGCCAUUAUUUAUCAAUAAAGAAUAAUCGUCAAGGUUCUUUUUAAUUACGACAACAUUUUAGACUUUAAUUGAAAAAUUUAAAAGUUGAAGGAUUUAGUGGGAAGAGGUGCCAAAUCUAAGUAUUUAUAUAGAUUUUUUCCCCAUAAAACCAAUAGGAAAAAGGCACCUAAACCUCCACCUCUUCAAGAAUACUCUAGCUCAAAUAAGAUUAGAAUUGGAAAAUAGAAACAAAACCCAUCUUCUUCUCCUCCACCGAAAACCCCAUCACCAUCUUCAUCAACUUGGAGCUCUCACCACGGUGGCAUCAAUAUCUUCACAAUCCGGCCACCAAAUCCAGCGAUUCAAGCUCGGUUGGAGAGCUAACACACACACGAAUAAGUGUUAUGUUUCAGGUGUAUAGUAUCAGAUGUAACGGACUUCUAUCCUUGUUCCAGAAGUCCGCGAAUACAGAAAGAAGGAAUAAAUCAGUAGUGCUGCAGUAGUCGAGUCCUAGAGUGUAAUUAUGUUUUGUCAAACGGUUUUAUAUAUGUUGUUUAUACUCUGACAUGUAUAAAGGUUUUAAACUGCGCUUUUAAACCGUUUAUAUAUAUAUAUAUGUGAGAAACAGGGCAUUGCUUGAUAUGAGAUAUCGCUUUGUAAGACCCUGAUUUCUAAAGAUCGUUUUGUAUCGUUUAAAGAAGUUUUAUAAAAACGUUUUGAGAA